CGAGUCCGAGUCUCCACGGAGACGAAGUGGCGGUCAUCCAGCUUCCUAGAAAAGCUCUAACCACGUUAAUCUUUAGUUGCCUGUACCCGAAACCGACACAGGUAGGGGGGUAGAGAAUACCAAGGGGCGCGAGAUAACUCUCUCUAAGGAACUCGGCAAAAUGACCCCGUAACUUCGGGAGAAGGGUACCACUGAGAAGUGGUCGCAGUGAAGAGGCCCAGGCGACUGUUUACCAAAAACACAGGUCUCCGCCAAGUCGCAAGACGAAGUAUGGGGGCUGACGCCGCCCAGUGCCGGAAGGUUAAGGAAGUGGGUUAGGGAUUCGUCCCGAAGCUGACGACUGAAGCCCCGGUGAACGGCGGCCGUAACUAUAGCGGUCCUAAGGUAGCGAAAUUCCUUGUCGGGUAAGUUCCGACCCGCACGAAAGGCGUAACGAUCUGGGCGCUGUCUCGGAGAGAGGCUCGGCGAAAUAGGAAUGUCUGUGAAGAUACGGACUACCUGCACCUGGACAGAAAGACCCUAUGAAGCUUUACUGUAGCUUGGAAUUGGGUUCGGGCUUGGUUUGCGCAGGAUAGGUGGGAGGCGAAGAAGAUUUGCUUGUGGGUGAAUCUGAGCCAACGGUGAGAUACCACUCUAACCAGGCUAGAAUUCUAACUUCAACCCGUCAACCGGGGGAAGGACAGUUUCAGGUGGGCAGUUUGACUGGGGCGGUCGCCUCCUAAAAGAUAACGGAGGCGCACAAAGGUUCCCUCAGGCUGGUUGGAAAUCAGCCAACGAGUGCAAAGGCAGAAGGGAGCUUGACUGCGAGACCUACAAGUCAAGCAGGGUGGAAACACGGUCUUAGUGAUCCGACGGCACCGAGUGGAAGGGCCGUCGCUCAACGGAUAAAAGUUACUCUAGGAUAACAGGCUGAUCUCCCCCAAGAGUUCACAUCGACGGGGAGGUUUGGCACCUCGAUGUCGGCUCAUCGCAACCUGGGGCGGAAGUACGUCCCAAGGGUUGGGCUGUUCGCCCAUUAAAGCGGUACGUGAGCUGGGUUCAGAACGUCGUGAGACAGUUCGGUCCAUAUCCGGUGUAGGCGCAAGAACAUUGAGAGGAGUCUUCCUUAGUACGAGAGGACCGGGAAGAACGCACCGCUGGUGUACCUGUUAUCGUGCCAACGGUAAACGCAGGGUAGCCAAGUGCGGAGUGGAUAACCGCUGAAAGCAUCUAAGUGGGAAGCCCACCUCAAGAUGAGUGUUCUCAUGGAGUAAUCCAGUAAGGUCACGGGAAGACGACCCGUUGAUAGGCGGUAGGUGGAAGUUCAGCAAUGGAUGAAGCCGAGCCGUACUAACAGACCGAGGGCUU
rnacentral:rRNA from 1 species